UCACCCUGGCUCCAGCUCCCCACAUCGAUGCUCCUUGCCCUGUCGUUCCCAUCGGCUGGGCGCUUUGCGUCUAGGAAAAACCACCGCACCAGCUCGCGCGCUCCCUACCCGGCCGUGCGUCCCUGCUCCCUCGCCACCUGGUGCAUGCGCGCGGCUUUCUACACGCCGGAGCAACACUUGUGCUUGGCCCCUGCGCUGAACCCUGCUCAGCUUCUCUAGUGCCGGCCGCCGCUCCAAGUCCUCUACUCGCCGACGCCAUGGACAGCUCGCGGUCGUUGCGUUGCAGGGUCCCAGUCACCAUUUCAAAGCUGCCCAGCUCCUAGACUGUCGUCCCUGUUUCUCACCGAUUAAAUUAUUGGUGAGCUGUCGUCGCUCUCGCUUUUCGUUUUAAUAUUUCCCAUCAAUUUAGUAUGAUUGCGCUGUCCAGGUAGGCUGGUGACGUAUACGUAAAUCGCAUUAGUGUGAUUUCGUAUAAUGCUAGAUAGGUGUUCGACGAUUUAGGGGAAACAGUAAACGUCAUCAUUUUUGUUAAUUCCAAGUCGCACUGUGAUACGAGAAGCUGAUGUAUUAUUACUCGUAGCCGAAUCGUUAGAUAGAUUGGCUACCUAGGUACGUCGCGACGAUUAUCCCGUUUGUAGAUCAGGCAUGUAUUUAUUUGACGUUUGUAGAAAUACGGGGCUAUAAGUAGCAUGGUAAUUAUGUCCACGAUUGUGAAGUCGUCGUGCUGUGUAGCUAAGUUUAGGAUUAACGACAUAGGUUAUACGAGAAGAUUAAAUCGGUGAUUCGUAUCCGGUGAAUGGUCGAAUUAAUAAUGGGAAAGUUAGGUUUAGAUAUUUAUUAUGCGAGAUAAAACUUAGGUUUAAAAUGCUAGUUACGUAGGAGUACCGAGCGAGCGUGUCUGUCGAGUGUGUUCAAAUUGGUUUUACUUAUAAAGUAUGUCAAAUUAAUAGCGUAAAUAAUUGAUUUAGUAAUCCAAACAAUUAUCUGAUAAGGCUGUUAUCGUUGAUUUUGUAGGAUAUUUUGGUAGUAAAACCUGAAAUGUUUAAUUAAUUGUUGACAUGUAAAAUAUGUGAGGUGUAAAAUAAAAUUAAAAUAAUUCUUUGUGAGCGAUGUAGUAUAAUUUAUAAAGCGAGGAAUAAGUUUAGAAUUUAAUUAAUUAACUGAUAAGUUGUGUUUAGUCUAAUCGUGAUUAAUGUGUUAAUUUGUUGUUUCGUGAUGUUUGCGAUAGGUUCGAGAAGCGUAAUUAUUGCGCUUAGUCGUACGUCGAUAAUUAUUGUCUCCAUAUGAAAUUGUUCAACGCCUCGCCGCUAGGUGUUUAAUUCGCUAUCGCGUAGCACUAUUUAGGCUGGUGAUAUUCCUGUCUAUAUGCAUUCAUGUGCAUAAUGCAUUCCAUUCAGGUACGUUAAGUAAUCAUGUGAAGCGAGAGACGAGCCAAGUCGACCCCAAGCGUGGGCUACUCCGCAUGAUGAUGCUGAUGGACGAACCUGCCCGAUCAAGUACUAGGACAAAGGAUGGUCGUCAAGUGGACGUCAUCUAACAAACACUAGCAUAGUGUUUAUUCCAGGCAAGCCCCGGUGCAUUUACCCCUUUCCUUGUGUUUUUAAAUUAUUUUUACACACUUUAAGUCUAGUGAAUGUGCAUUAGGUUUAUAGGAGUUGGUUGGAAACCCUUUGAUGCAUUGCCUUCCUUGAUAUCCAUACC
rnacentral:lncRNA from 1 species